AACGAACGCUGGCGGCAGGCCUAACACAUGCGAGUCGAGCGCCCCGCCAGGGGAGCGGCGGACGGGUGAGUACCGCGUGGGAAUAUGCCCUUUGCUACGGAAUAGUCUCGGGAAACUGGGGGUAAUACCGUAUACGCCCUUUGGGGGAAAGAUUUAUCGGCGAAGGAUUAGCCCGCGUUGGAUUAGGUAGUUGGUGGGGUAAUGGCCUACCAAGCCGACGAUCCAUAGCUGGUUUGAGAGGAUGAUCAGCCACACUGGGACUGAGACACGGCCCAGACUCCUACGGGAGGCAGCAGUGGGGAAUCUUAGACAAUGGGGGCAACCCUGAUCGAGCCAUGCCGCGUGAGUGAUGAAGGCCUUAGGGUUGUAAAGCUCUUUCAGCUGGGAAGAUAAUGACGGUACCAGCAGAAGAAGCCCCGGCUAACUCCGUG
rnacentral:rRNA from 1 species